rnacentral:tRNA from 2 species
CCUUCGAUAGCUCAGUUGGUAGAGCGGAGGACUGUAGAGUUACUAGAAUAGUGAUCCUUAGGUCGCUGGUUCGAAUCCGGCUCGAAGGA